rnacentral:tRNA from 11 species
UAUUUUUAAUUGACAUAGACCAAGUCCUCUAGUAAAAUGAGGAUGAUGCAUCGGGAAUAGCC